CCUACGGGAGGCAGCCGUGAGGAAUAUUGGUCAAUGGACGAGAGUCUGAACCAGCCAAGUAGCGUGAAGGAUGACUGCCCUAUGGGUUGUAAACUUCUUUUAUAUGGGAAUAAAAUGUUCCCCUUGUGGGUUUUUUUUUUUCCCUUUUGAUUAGGAUUGGGCUAACUCCUUGCAAGCACCCGCGUUAAUCCGGAGGUCCCGAGCGUUAUCCGGAUUUAUUGGGUUUAAAGGGAGCGUAGGUGGAUGGUUAAGUCAGGUGUGAAAGUUUGAGGCGCAACCGUAAAAUUGCAGUUGAAACUGGCAGUCUUGAGUACAGUAGAGGUGGGCGGAAUUCGUGGUGUAGCGGUGAAAUGCUUAGAUAUCACGAAGAACUCCGAUUGCGAAGGCAGCUCACUGGACUGCAACUGACACUGAGGCUCGAAAGUGUGGGUAUCAAACAGGAUUAGAUACCCCAGUAGUC
rnacentral:rRNA from 1 species